rnacentral:piRNA from 1 species
UGAAUUUCAAGUGUUCCAUUUUUCUGGGA